AUGGGGAUCAUGGAAUCCACAAAACACUUUGAUGUAUUUCUUCUCUCUCUCUGUCCCAUGUAUGAAAUUGAAGAAACUGAAGGCUCUUUCCUCAGACAAUUGGAUGACUUCCUUUGGUGCCUCUUGAUUGGACAGACCAAUAUCUUUGCUGGAAGUGUUAUGUUUGGUGAUUUGAACCUGGUUCAGGAUUAUGUCAAUGUUGAAUGUAUCCAGGACUACAGGAAAGGAACUGCUAAAGGGAGGACACUUCUGUUUGGAUUAAAUAACUCGCUGCUAACCGGACAAUUACUGGUCAUUCUGUUGAAACGAGGACUUGCUCUACACGUGGAAAGAGAGCAUCAUGUUCCAGGGGAGACCUUGUUAGCCAUUCUCGUGGGAAACAUACAUUUUGUGUGA
rnacentral:lncRNA from 12 species